AUCUCUCUUCAAAGACAUCCGAUAAAAUUGAAACGAUACAUAAAAGAUUAGCAUGGCCUCUGUGCAAGGAUGACACACACAAAUCAAGAAGUUCACUUGUAUUUA